rnacentral:rRNA from 1 species
AGAGUUUGAUCAUGGCUCAGGAUGAACGCUAGCUACAGGCUUAACACAUGCAAGUCAGGGGCAGCAUGGUCUUAGCUUGCUAAGGCCGAUGGNGACCGGCGCACGGGUGAGUAACACGUAUCCAACCUGCCGUCUACUCUUGGACAGCCUUCUGAAAGGAAGAUUAAUACAAGAUGGCAUCAUGAGUUCACAUGUUCACAUGAUUAAAGGUUUUCCGGUAGACGAUGGGGAUGCGUUCCAUUAGAUAGUAGGCGGGGUAACGGCCCACCUAGUCUUCGAUGGAUAGGGGUUCUGAGAGGAAGGUCCCCCACAUUGGAACUGAGACACGGUCCAAACUCCUACGGGAGGCAGCA